rnacentral:piRNA from 1 species
GUUCUGGUAUUUUGCUCAUGGAACACGGA